CACAUCAUGAAAGCCGCUCGUACCCGAAGUCAUUGCAUCAACCGCAAGGAGAUAGAUGCCGAAGGUAUGGGUGGUGAUUGGGAUG
rnacentral:rRNA from 1 species